AACAGACUGACAGAGAUAUCGGGACUAGAUGCUCUGACGGAGCUGCAGGAGUUGUAUCUCUCAGAGAAUGGGAUCACCCAGAUCCAUGGUUUAGACCACAACACCAAGAUCUCCACCCUGGAUCUGGCUCAGAACAAGAUCACCUCCAUCAGUGGCAUUUCUCACUUGCAAACAACUAGAGGAGUUUUGGUUGAACGACAACCUGGUGAGUGACUGGAGCAAUGUGGAUGUCCUGUCGCACAACAAACAACUGGUGACUGUGUACUUGGACCACAACCCCAUCGCCAAGGAUACCAACUACAGGCGCAAAAUCAAGUUAGCUGUACCAUGGAUUUCACAAAUAGAUGCCACUCUAGCCAGAUAAGAGCUGAUAGCAGCGGAAUCUGCCCAUUUCCUACUACUAGAAUCUGUUUCUACUCCUCUCACUGUACUGAGAUGAUCGCAGUCUUGUAACUGGUGGAACCGAUUCGAUUUGUAUUGGUCACUAAAAUUAAAUUAACCUUGUGCGAGGUAAACUAUUCAUCGUUAUUCUGAAAGAUGAAAACAUGGAUGAUGAAAUGUUUUGUAUGUUUUAAAAUUUAUAGUUUGUACAAGUGAAUGUCAGUAAAAUUGGUACAUUGUGAAAUGUCAUAUUAAUGUCAUGUACUUGAAAAUAUAUUUCAAAACUUGUUGAUUCAUAUCAUUACAAAAAUGUUGAACACUGUGUUUUUUUAACCCUUAUUCUGGCUAAAACCGAAUUUUUGAUAUGAACAAUUGUGAAUCAUUUUUCAUAUUGACAUUAUUCAGGUAUCUUUGGAAACAUUCUGUUGUGAGCAAAUGUUAUGUAUUUUACAUUUCUUAGCCUGUGAUGAUGUGACAGAGGAGAAACUUAUUUGUUGAAGACACAGUAAUGUAAGCAGUAAUUAAUUAAAAGCUUUGUUUCAUUACUACUGCAUUUCACCUGAAUUGAAUGUGUUCUGUUACAAUUUGAUAUGUUUAUUCAGUAUUAAAUUUAUGGUACUAUAUAAUAUAUUAGUAUUGUAAUUUCAGUUAGUAAAUCAUAGCACAGUAUUUUUUAAUAUAUUAAGUAAAAAUAAAGAAAACUAAAUGCCUUUACUUUAUAAAUCAAACCCCUUUUAUUUAACAUUAUUCUUCUUCGCUUUGGUAAUAGGGAUCCAUUUUUAUAUUAGGAAAAUAUACAUUCCUUUAUAAAUUUAACAACAGUUGUUAUCUAAUAAAACAAAAAUUAACUUGUUUUAUUAUCUUAUCACUUAGCUUAAAUGUUCUUUGAUCAAAAUUUAUCAUUUCUUCUUUACAAAUCUGUAAAAUGAAUAUUUUAUUUGAAUAAAUCAAGCAUUUUGUUUUGUCUAAAUAAAUUGUUACUAUCAAAUAUAAUAAUUAUUAUUAUUUUCUUUGGCUCAUUUUGAAAAUAAUAAUUCCAUGACAAUUUGCUAUAUAUAUAUAUAUAUAUAUAUAUAUAUAUAUAUAUAUUUUAUUCUCUUGUUCAGGAAUGGCUUGGAAACAAACAGUAAAAUAAAACCAGAUGGAGGGUUAAUUAAAGCAGUCCAAUUAAACAACAAUUGCAAUUACAAUCAUUCAUCUAGAAUUGUACAUGGAAUGAAUGAAUACAUUCUUGUGU